AUUGAACGCUGGCGGUAUGCUUAACACAUGCAAGUCGAACGGAAACGAUACUAGCUUGCUAGUAGGCGUCGAGUGGCGGACGGGUGAGUAACGCGUAGGAAUCUGCCUGAUAGUGGGGGAUAGCCCGGAGAAAUUCGGAUUAAUACCGCAUAAUCUAUUCGUAGUAAAGUGGGGGACUUUCGAGCCUCACGCUAUCAGAUGAGCCUGCGUAAGAUUAGCUUGUUGGUAGGGUAAAAGCCUACCAAGGCGACGAUCUUUAGCUGGUCUGAGAGGAUGAUCAGCCACAUCGGGACUGAGACACGGCCCGAACUCCUACGGGAGGCAGCAGUGGGGAAUAUUGGACAAUGGGGGCAACCCUGAUCCAGCAAUACCGCGUGUGUGAAGAAGGCCUGAGGGUUGUAAAGCACUUUCAAUUGUGAAGAAAAGUUAACGGUUAAUAACCGUUAGCCUUGACGUUAACUUUAGAAGAAGCACCGGCUAACUCCG
rnacentral:rRNA from 1 species